rnacentral:rRNA from 1 species
CCUACGGGAGGCUGCAGUGGGGAAUAUUGCGCAAUGGGCGAAAGCCUGACGCAGCGACGCCGCGUGAGGGAUGAAGGUCCUCGGAUCGUAAACCUCCGUCAGCAGGGAAGUACGGUCACUGUGCUAAUCAGCAGUGAAUUGACGGUACCUGCAAAGGAAGCACCGGCUAACUCCGUGCCAGCAGCCGCGGGAAUACGGAGGGUGCGAGCGUUAAUCGGUAUUACUGGGCGUAAGGCGCUCGUGGGAGGUAUGUCAAGUCAAGGGUGAAAGCCCCGCGCUCAACGUGGGAACUGCCUUUGAAACUGGCAAACUGGAGUGUGUGAGAGGAUAGUGGAAUUCCAGGUGUAGGAGUGAAAUCCGUAGAUAUCUGGAGGAACAUCAGUGGCGAAGGCGACUAUCUGGCACAUAACUGACGCUGAGGAGCGAAAGCGUGGGUAGCAAACAGGAUUAGAUACCCGUGUAGUC